UGCCAGCCGCCGCGGUAAUACGGAGGGUGCAAGCGUUAAUCGGAAUUACUGGGCGUAAAGAGUUCGUAGGCGGUUAGAUAAGUUAGAUGUGAAAGCCCUGGGCUUAACCUAGGAACUGCAUUUAAUACUGUCUAACUAGAGUACAGUAGAGGAGAGGGGAAUUUCCAGUGUAGCGGUGAAAUGCGUAGAGAUUGGAAGGAACACCAGUGGCGAAGGCGACUCUCUGGACUGAUACUGACGCUGAGGCGCGAAAGCGUGGGUAGCGAACAGGAUUAGAUA
rnacentral:rRNA from 1 species